GUCCACGUAGUUUAAUGGAUAGAAUAUUCCUCUCCGAAGGGAAAGAUUGUAGGUUCAAUUCCUAACGUGGGCACCA
rnacentral:tRNA from 1 species